GGACUACAGGGGUAUCUAAUCCUGUUCGCUCCCCUGGCUUUCGCACCUGAGCGUCAGAAACCAUCCAGGACACUGCCUUCGCCUUUGGUAUUCCUCCGGAUAUCUACGCAUUUCACCACUCCACCCGGAAUUCUAUGUCCCUCUCUGGUCCUCAAGUCCACCAGUUUUCAGAGGCCUUGCUCAGUUAAGCCGAGCACUGUCACUCCAAACUUGGCAAACCGCCUGCGUGCCCUUUACGCCCAGUAACUCCGGACAACGCUUGCCCCCUACGUAUUACCGCGGCGGCUGGCAC
rnacentral:rRNA from 1 species